AGAGUUUGAUCAUGGCUCAGGAUGAACGCUGGCGGCGUGCUUAACACAUGCAAGUCGAACGAUUGAAGCUGGAGCUUGCUCCGGCCGAUUUAGUGGCGGACGGGUGAGUAACGCGUGGGUAACCUGCCUCAUACAGGGGGAUAGCAGUUGGAAACGACUGGUAAAACCGCAUAAGCGCACGGUGUCGCAUGACACAGUGUGAAAACACUCCGGUGGUAUGAGAUGGACCCGCGUCUGAUUAGCUAGUUGGUGAGGUAACGGCCCACCAAGGCGACGAUCAGUAGCCGGCCUGAGAGGGUGAACGGCCACAUUGGGACUGAGACACGGCCCAAACUCCUACGGGAGGCAGCAGUGGGGAAUAUUGCACAAUGGGGGAAACCCUGAUGCAGCGACGCCGCGUGAGUGAUGAAGUAUUUCGGUAUGUAAAGCUCUAUCAGCAGGGAAGAUAAUGACGGUACCUGACUAAGAAGCACCGGCUAAAUACGUGCCAGCAGCGGUAAUACGUAUGGUGCAAGCGUUAUCCGGAUUUACUGGGUGUAAAGGGUGCGUAGGUGGCAAGGCAAGUCUGAAGUGAAAAUCCGGGGCUCAACCCCGGAACUGCUUUGGAAACUGUUUAGCUGGAGUACAGGAGAGGUAAGUGGAAUUCCUAGUGUAGCGGUGAAAUGCGUAGAUAUUAGGAGGAACACCAGUGGCGAAGGCGGCUUUCUGGACGACAACUGACGCUGAGGCGCGAAAGUGUGGGGAGCAAACAGGAUUAGAUACCCUGGUAGUCCACACCGUAAACGAUGGAUACUAGGUGUAGGAGGUAUCGACCCCUUCUGUGCCGCAGUUAACACAAUAAGUAUCCCACCUGGGGAGUACGACCGCAAGGUUGAAACUCAAAGGAAUUGACGGGGGCCCGCACAAGCAGUGGAGUAUGUGGUUUAAUUCGAAGCAACGCGAAGAACCUUACCUGGGCUUGACAUCCCUGGAAUCGAGUAGAGAUACUUGAGUGCCUUCGGGAAUCAGGUGACAGGUGGUGCAUGGUUGUCGUCAGCUCGUGUCGUGAGAUGUUGGGUUAAGUCCCGCAACGAGCGCAACCCCUAUUGUCAGUUGCCAUCAUUAAGUUGGGCACUCUGGCGAGACUGCCGGUGACAAAUCGGAGGAAGGUGGGGACGACGUCAAAUCAUCAUGCCCCUUAUGCCCAGGGCUACACACGUACUACAAUGGCCGAUAACAAAGUGCAGCGAAACCGUGAGGUGGAGCGAAUCACAAAACUCGGUCUCAGUUCAGAUUGCAGGCUGCAACUCGCCUGCAUGAAGUUGGAAUUGCUAGUAAUCGCGGAUCAGAAUGCCGCGGUGAAUACGUUCCCGGGCCUUGUACACACCGCCCGUCACACCAUGAGAGUCGAUUACACCCGAAGCCUGUGAGCUAACCUUUUAGGAGGCAGCAGUCGAAGGUGGGGUUGAUGAUUGGGGUGAAGUCGUAACAAGGUA
rnacentral:rRNA from 1 species